rnacentral:rRNA from 1 species
UACGGGGGGGGCAAGCGUUGUUCGGAAUUACUGGGCGUAAAGGGCUCGUAGGCGGCCAACUAAGUCAGACGUGAAAUCCCCAGGCUCAACCUGGGAACUGCGUCUGUGACUGCAUAGCUAGAGUACGGUAGAGGGGGAUGGAAUUCCGCGUGUAGCAGUGAAAUGCGUAGAUAUGCGGAGGAACACCGAUGGCGAAGGCAAUCCCCUGGACCUGUACUGACGCUCAUGCACGAAAGCGUGGGGAGCAAACAGG